AAGCCUACCUUCUCCAUCACCAAUCCCACUUUCCUCCUCAAAGGCAAUGUGUAUCCUGACUUCUAACAUUAAAGAAGUUUUUGAACCAGAGAAGCACUAAAGGUUUAAAGCCAGAAGGAAAUCGGAUAACAUUUGUCCUUUGGAAAGCACUCCCUGGCUUGGGCAAGGGAAAGGCUGCAGGCAGAGAGUCUUCUACCCCCAACCCUGGAAGUCUUUUACUCAAACCAGUCACCCGGAAAAGCAAGCCUCCCACUGGUGCUUAAUUCGCUCAAGGAAAGAUUAGAGGAACCUGGUUAGCAAGCUUUGGAAGUUGCUCAUAAAAUUCAGCAGGAGCCUGCAAUCCUCAGAGACUUCUAUUUUUACCAAAAACACACACAGAGAAGUGGAGAAUUUUCAAAUGAAUUAGACAUGAGAUUGAUCUUUUUUAUACAAAAGAGGAGAGAAAAGCAACAGUGAUGCUGAGUUUGAACUACUCCCCGCAUCCCCCCACCUCCAGUUUCCAUAAGCUGCCUCAUCUCCUGGCCUCAGUCAGGCCUCGGCUCUGGCACUGACCCAGUCACAGACCAUGACAGGAGCCAGGGGCCACAAACGCCUUGUGGUUUCACCAAGACAAUGAACAUAGUACACAAACAGACCCUGUUUCUACACAGAGAAGAAUUGCCCAAAAUGGCUCCGCCUGGCCUCACCUGAAUAAUCCAGACGACUUAUACUCUAAGUGAUAAUUGAUGUUGAGGAGGCUUAAAAUAUAACAUGAUCUACCCUGGGCACCCACUUGCAUCUACACAAUGACAAUACAGCACUGAGCUGAACUUAUGUCAGAGAGGCUGCAGCAUGGCAACGCUUCAGUAAGGAGGACAAUGUCACACACAGCUGACAGGGAGCACACUGGCACAGCCUUUCUGAAGGGCAGUGUGGCAACAUGUAUCAAGCAUUUAAAAAGGGGUCAUACUUUUUGACACACUAAUUUUUAAGAAACUCAUCCAAAGGGCUUGAUGGGGCUUAUGUGACCUGUGGGCAAAUGAUGGCACCUCUCUGUAAACUGCUCCACUUCUGUAAGAUGAUAAAUAAUGCCCGACUUACUUCUCUAGAG